GGUACCUCCGCCCAACACCCAAUCACCUUGAGUAACAUCAACAGACAGGCAGUAAUAAUCAGCCUCGUCCUCGGCCUGGAGCCUAGUGAUGGUCAAGGAGCCUGUGUUGCCAGACGUGGAGCCAGAAAAUCUGUCAGGGACCCCUGAGGGUCGAUUGCUACUACCAUAGAUGAGGAGUUUAGGGGCCUUUCCUGGAAGCUGUUGGUACCAGUUCACACCAGCAAUACCGAUGUUGCUCCUACUUCCAGCGCA